rnacentral:rRNA from 1 species
AUACGGAGGAUUCGCGCGUUAUCCGGAUUUAUUGGGUUUAAAGGGAGCGUAGGUGGGAUAUUAAGUCAGCUGUGAAAGUUUGGGGCUCAACCUUAAAAUUGCAGUUGAUACUGGUUUCCUUGAGUACGGUACAGGUGGGCGGAAUUCGUGGGGUAGCGGUGAAAUGCUUAGAUAUCACGAAGAACUCCGAUCGCGAAGGCAGCUCACCGGGCCGGAACUGACACUGAUGCUCGAAAGUGCGGGUAUCAAACAGGAUUAGAUACCCUGGUAGUCCGCACAGUAAACGAUGAAUACUCGCUGUUUGCGAUACACGGUAAGCGGCCAAGCGAAAGCGUUAAGUAUUCCACCUGGGGAGUACGCCGGCAACGGUGAAACUCAAAGGAAUCGGCGGGG